ACGCUGGCGGUAGGCUUAACACAUGCAAGUCGAGCGAGAAAGUAUCUUCGGAUAUGAGUAGAGCGGCGGACGGGUGAGUAACGCGUAGGAAUCUACCUAGUAGAAGGGGAUAGCCCGGGGAAACUCGGAUUAAUACCGUAUACCUCCUAAGGGAGAAAGAGGGCCUCUCUUGAUGCUCUCGCUAUUAGAUGAGCCUGCGUAAGAUUAGCUUGUUGGUAAGGUAAUGGCUUACCAAGGCUACGAUCUUUAGCUGGUCUGAGAGGACGAUCAGCCACAUUGGGACUGAGACACGGCCCAGACUCCUACGGGAGGCAGCAGUGGGGAAUAUUGGACAAUGGGCGCAAGCCUGAUCCAGCCAUACCGCGUGUGUGAAGAAGGCCUUCGGGUUGUAAAGCACUUUAAGCAGGGAGAAAAAGUUAUAAGUUAAUACCUUGUAACCGUGAUGUUACCUGCAGAAUAAGCACCGGCUAAUUCCGUGCCAGCAGCCGCGGUAAUACGGAAGGUGCAAGCGUUAAUCGGAAUUACUGGGCGUAAAGCGCGCGUAGGUGGUUUGUUAAGUUGGAUGUGAAAGCCCUGGGCUCAACCUAGGAACUGCAUCCAAAACUAACUCACUAGAGUACGAUAGAGGGAGGUAGAAUUCAUAGUGUAGCGGUGGAAUGCGUAGAUAUUAUGAAGAAUACCAGUGGCGAAGGCGGCCUCCUGGAUCUGUACUGACACUGAGGUGCGAAAGCGUGGGUAGCGAACAGGAUUAGAUACCCUGGUAGUCCACGCCGUAAACGAUGACAACUAGCUGUUGGGAGACAAUGUCUUUCAGUGGCGCAGCUAACGUUUUAAGUUGUCCGCC
rnacentral:rRNA from 1 species